GCCGGGGUACCCAAGCGGUCUACGGGACCUGCCUUGUAAGCAGGCGGCGCAAGCCAACAUGGGUUCGAAUCCCAUCCCCGGCU
rnacentral:tRNA from 1 species